rnacentral:tRNA from 1 species
AUAGAGGUUUAAAUCCUCUUAUUUCUA